rnacentral:rRNA from 1 species
CAAUAGCGUAUAUUAAAGUUGUUGCGGUUAAAAAGCUCGUAGUUGGAGUUCUGCCAGGUGCCGCCUGUCCGCCCCAGUGGUGAGUACGUGGCGCGCAUUUGGCCCUUUCAAGGGGAGCGUAUCUGCACUUUAUUGUGUGGUGCGGGAUCCUUGACUUUUACUUUGAGGAAAUAGGAGUGUUCCAAGCAGGCUCUCGUCGUGCACAGCUCAGCAUGGAAUAAUAGCAUUGGACCUCGAUUCUAAGCUGUUGGUUGCCAGAAGCGAGGUAAUGAUGAAGAGGGAUAGUUGGGGGCAUUCGUAUUUAACUGUCAGAGGUGAAAUUCAUGGAUUUGUUAAAGACGGACUACUGCGAAAGCAUCUGCCAUGGAUGUUUUCAUUGA